rnacentral:lncRNA from 1 species
AUUUAAGAAGGCAGUUAGCAUUUCAAUCUGGAGCUUUCUAUGUUGCUGGCAUUUUUUCUGAUUAGCAUAUUUUUAUUAUUUUCAUCUCAGUGCCAGUGUUUGAUGAGCUGCGCUGGAUAACAUGCGUGGAGAGUGGGCCAGGGAAGAAGUUCCAGUUUGGGACAAAGGUUUUAGAAUUAAUAUAAUUAACACAUGAUCCUAACCCAUUUUAGUGUCUAUUCUUUAAUAAAUGCCAGCCAGAACAUCCCAGAAGAGUCAGGCCUGGCUUUGGGGGAGAAGUUGUGUGAAGGUGGGAUGAAGACUGAGGAGGCUUUUAAUCAUGUUCCCCCCCGAAGAGAGCAACCAUACCACUAGCUAAUGGUCAGACCUAACGGAGUAAGAGAACAGAUAGUGCCUGUGACUCGCCAUGACAACGUCUUGCCGCCUUUUUAUUCACAGUCCCCUUUUCAGAACGUGUCAGACUGACGGCAGAGCAGGCCGUACUGGGGAAUAUCACCACGCAGCUCCUGCUUCCCGCUCAGAUCUACCCACACACUACCGCAUGCCAAGAAUGUGUAUUUGGCUCCACUCCUAUGUUGUGAAGUGUCAGAGGAGCAGCUCUCUGUCUAGCUAGGCUCUACAGGGAUGCCCACCGUGGCCCACGCUGCCUCGGUCUGAACAGAAGCCUGAAUAUCUGCGGGCAUUCAGAAGUAUGCUGCCUUCUUCUUACCUUCAGGUAGAAGAACGAGGUGUGGAUACCAGCUCUGUUUUCAGAGUCUCCACGGAAACAUACACCUCUGGGUGUUUCUAUGGGGGAAGUUCCCAGCAGUGUUUAACUGAAGAGAGGAGGCCUUCCAUGAGUCUGAACAGCUCUAGACUAUGGGCUGAGGUCACAGUCUGGACUUGUGCCCUGCUCCUCCCCUGCUGUUUCUAUCAUGACACUCUAAGAUGCUCCACUUUGAUGGCUCCAAGAAUGGAGAAGAUUCCCAGGACAUUAAUGAAGACAUCUGUACUGAUGACUUAGAAAAGAAAAGCUAUUUCCAGGGCAGUCAUGUGUUUUGGGAGAACUGUAACUACCACAUCCACUAAAAACCUGGAGUUGAGUAAAAUCCU